GCCCGGUAUGUAAUGCAGGCUCUCAGAAGCCCGGGCUUUCUACAUGCAAUACCGAUCUAUAAGUCGAAUAUAUCGCUUUAUUGUAAAAUGUUUAGUGGGGGCAACUUGAGAGGGGUAGAAAUUAUUUACAUACACCAAAAGCCUUACUUUGCUGUUUUAACGAAGCCAUUGAUAUACAACAUGAAAUGCGAAGCCCGGCUGUAUAAAAUGCAGAUAUUUCACAUGUGAAAUGCAACCAUGCUGCGUUGCCAUUUUGCUAUUGUUUCUCAGCCUUCUGAUGAGAUCAUUUUAAUUCUUGUGAUCGAAGUGCACGUACGAGGUGCUAGCAUGGACCACUUUAAGUUUUUGGUUAGUUUGGCUACUCAAAACGAAAUUGGUUACCCCAAGAUAUUUUUCAAACUGCAAAGGUGGCCAAAGUAUUAAUGUUGUUAGAAAAAGGCAGAGGAAGACAAUUUAUAGGAAAAAGCCUCGAUGAAAUAAAAAUAGACAAGGAUAUGUAUUUAAAUUCUGAUGACGAAGACUCUUUUCGUAAUACAGCUAGUUUUGAAAAUGUUGAAAGUGAAGAAAUUUCACAGUUUGGGCCGGAAAAUGCAGAAUGCACGGAGAGCACUUCUCAACUUAAUGCUGAACCAGGUCCUUCAAGCAUGGAAGCUGCAGUUAAAAAAGGAGGGAAGAAAAUAAAACCAUGUGGCCGCGUUCGUUGGACAGAAACUGAAAAGACAAUUGUUAUAAAAAAAACAUCAGCAUGCUUAGCUAGCAGUUCAUCACAUUCAUAUUUUUUUGGUGUGAUUUUCUUUUGAAUAUGCAGUUUGAAGUAAUCCGUAUAUUAAACAAGGAUUGGGUGCGCAUUAAAACUUUUGUGUACAAUGUGUUUAGACAAAAAGUUCUUUAAUAAAACCUAUUUUCAUGA